GAAGGGACCUAGCGUAGUUCGGAAUUACUGGGCUUAAAGAGUUCGUAGGUGGUUAAAAAAGUUGGUGGUGAAAUCCCAGAGCUUAACUCUGGAACUGCCAUCAAAACUUUUUAGCUAGAGUAUGAUAGAGGAAAGCAGAAUUUCUAGUGUAGAGGUGAAAUUCGUAGAUAUUAGAAAGAAUACCAAUUGCGAAGGCAGCUUUCUGGAUCAUUACUGACACUGAGGAACGAAAGCAUGGGUAGCGAAGAGGAUUAGAUACCCUCGUAGUCCAUGCCGUAAACGAUGUGUGUUAGACGUUGGAAAUUUAUUUUCAGUGUCGCAGCGAAAGCAUUAAACACACCGCCUGGGGAGUACGACCGCAAGGUUAAAACUCAAAUGAAUUGACGGGGACCCGCACAAGUAGUGGAGCAUGUGGUUUAAUUCGAAGAUACGCGCAGAACCUUACCAACACUUGACAUGUUCGUCGCGACUUUAAGAGAUUAAAGUUUUCGGUUCGGCCGGACGAAACACAGGUGCUGCAUGGCUGUCGUCAGCUCGUGUCGUGAGAUGUUGGGUUAAGUCCCGCAACGAGCGCAACCCUCACUUUUAGUUGCCAUCAUUUAGUUGGGCACUCUGAAAGAACUGCCAGUGAUAAGCUGGAGGAAGG
rnacentral:rRNA from 1 species